UGCAAGUCGAACGAUGAUGCCCAGCUUGCUGGGCGGAUUAGUGGCGAACGGGUGAGUAAUACGUGAGUAACCUGCCCUUGACUCUGGGAUAAGCCUGGGAAACUGGGUCUAAUACUGGAUACUACCUCUUGCCGCAUGGUGGGUGGUGGAAAGGGUUUUACUGGUUUUGGAUGGGCUCACGGCCUAUCAGCUUGUUGGUGGGGUAAUGGCUCACCAAGGCGACGACGGGUAGCCGGCCUGAGAGGGUGACCGGCCACACUGGGACUGAGACACGGCCCAGACUCCUACGGGAGGCAGCAGUGGGGAAUAUUGCACAAUGGGCGGAAGCCUGAUGCAGCGACGCCGCGUGAGGGAUGACGGCCUUCGGGUUGUAAACCUCUUUCAGUAGGGAAGAAGCGAGAGUGACGGUACCUGCAGAAGAAGCGCCGGCUAACUACGUGCCAGCAGCCGCGGUAAUACGUAGGGCGCAAGCGUUGUCCGGAAUUAUUGGGCGUAAAGAGCUCGUAGGCGGUUUGUCGCGUCUGCUGUGAAAGCCCGGGGCUCAACCCCGGGUCUGCAGUGGGUACGGGCAGACUAGAGUGCAGUAGGGGAGACUGGAAUUCCUGGUGUAGCGGUGAAAUGCGCAGAUAUCAGGAGGAACACCGAUGGCGAAGGCAGGUCUCUGGGCUGUUACUGACGCUGAGGAGCGAAAGCAUGGGGAGCGAACAGGAUUAGAUACCCUGGUAGUCCAUGCCGUAAACGUUGGGCACUAGGUGUGGGGGACAUUCCACGUUUUCCGCGCCGUAGCUAACGCAUUAAGUGCCCCGCCUGGGGAGUACGGCCGCAAGGCUAAAACUCAAAGGAAUUGACGGGGGCCCGCACAAGCGGCGGAGCAUGCGGAUUAAUUCGAUGCAACGCGAAGAACCUUACCAAGGCUUGACAUUCACCGGACCGCCCCAGAGAUGGGGUUUCCCUUCGGGGCUGGUGGACAGGUGGUGCAUGGUUGUCGUCAGCUCGUGUCGUGAGAUGUUGGGUUAAGUCCCGCAACGAGCGCAACCCUCGUUCUAUGUUGCCAGCACGUGAUGGUGGGGACUCAUAGGAGACUGCCGGGGUCAACUCGGAGGAAGGUGGGGAUGACGUCAAAUCAUCAUGCCCCUUAUGUCUUGGGCUUCACGCAUGCUACAAUGGCCGGUACAAAGGGUUGCGAUACUGUGAGGUGGAGCUAAUCCCAAAAAGCCGGUCUCAGUUCGGAUUGAGGUCUGCAACUCGACCUCAUGAAGUCGGAGUCGCUAGUAAUCGCAGAUCAGCAACGCUGCGGUGAAUACGUUCCCGGGCCUUGUACACACCGCCCGUCAAGUCACGAAAGUUGGUAACACCCGAAGCCGGUGGCCUAACCCCUUGUGGGAGGGAGCCGUCGAA
rnacentral:rRNA from 1 species